GAUUCUGGCUCAGGAUGAACGCUGGCGGCGUGCUUAACACAUGCAAGUCGAACGGAGAUAUGCGCUGAUUGAAGCUUCGGCAGAUUCUGCAUAUCUUAGUGGCGGACGGGUGAGUAACGCGUGGGUAACCUGCCUUAUACCGGGGGAUAACACUUAGAAAUAGGUGCUAAUACCGCAUAAGCGCACGACACCGCAUGGUGAUGUGUGAAAAACUCCGGUGGUAUAAGAUGGACCCGCGUCUGAUUAGUUAGUUGGUGAGGUAACGGCCCACCAAGACGACGAUCAGUAGCCGGCCUGAGAGGGUGAACGGCCACAUUGGGACUGAGACACGGCCCAAACUCCUACGGGAGGCAGCAGUGGGGAAUAUUGGACAAUGGGGGAAACCCUGAUCCAGCCGACGCCGCGUGAGUGAAGAAGUAUUUCGGUAUGUAAAGCUCUAUCAGCAGGGAAGAUAAUGACGGUACCUGACUAAGAAGCCCCGGCUAACUACGUGCCAGCAGCAGC
rnacentral:rRNA from 1 species